AAUGGCACUCUUCAAGUGCAUUUGUAAAGGCCAAAAUGAGAAUUAUCAGGCUGUGAAAAUGACAUGCAACAUUUCUGGGAAUAAAGAACUUCCCUAAAAUAUACAUCUCUUUACGCAGCUUUGGAGCAUGUUCAUGUGACGUCACUGGAAGUGUCAUGUUACAAACAGAAAAAAAAAUAAAGAUAAAAUGUGGAACAGAAUAAAAUUUCAGAGGGUUCUUAUAACUGCUUACGAGCACAUACUUCAUUCACACCUAAACAUUAAAACCUAAGGUAAUAUAAGGCAUCAUUUUUGCUUCCACUCCCAAGUCAGGUAAGAAUAGACAAGCUCAACAUGCAGUCUCCUCAUAUUUACCUAGAACAUGGAAUCUGCUCAAAGUUCUAGCCUGGAGUAUCAUGAAAUUAAUUUGAUAUAGGAAUGACUUAGAGGCAACUUGUACAUAUUCUUGUAAAGAGUUAUAAUUCCACUGUUUUCUAAAAAUAAUAAAGAACCUGAACAAAAUAUUCAUUCAUUGGGGGAAUAUUCAUAGGAAGCAACCAUGUUUUAUUCACUUUGUAUCAACAAAUUUCAGCACAAGUUUUGAACAGAACAUACAUUCAGCAAAUGCAUACAAAUGAGUUUUAAAAGUUCUCCAAUUGCAAGUACACAUUUCCCUGUAUAUUCAUGUAAAGAAGUUAUGAGCACAAAAUAUCUAUCAUUAAGACUAGAGCCUCUAUCGCUAAUAUAAGAUAACCAUCAAUAUUUCUAAUAUUUUCUGUGGGGAUUAAAGAUAUAAGGCAAGAGUAGUUAUCCUUUACAAGUUCAAAGUUGUUUUUUUUUUCUUUUUCUGAAGCACUAAGAGACAGUCACUGAUAAAGUUCUCUGUAGGGGAGAGUGUUUAGGAAUAUCAUUUCUUUGGUCCCUGCAGGAUUUCACAGAUCUUUCUCUGCAAGGAAUUUGUCUUCAGCAAUCUCUAGUCUAUUACAUGUGCCCAGAAGGCCCCAGAAAUUCGCGGUGCUGGUGGUAGGUCAUACAUUCUAGAGCAACUGAAUUCGUUUAAUGAGGAAACUAAAAUAUGUUUGCCUAAAAGCCUCUUCACAGAACCAUACUACUCGCAUAUUUAAAUAACUUCAUUAUCUACUGCUUUGAGUAAUACUUUAGAUGGAAAGUCACCUCAGAGAUACACACACUGCGUACACUGUGGCCGGUAACCACGUUUUCUCUUCUACCAGUGUCCCCACCUGCAUGAGGUAUGCUAAAUAUCCUUUAUUUUACCACAUGCAGUCAAACCCUGUACUUUGCUUCCCUCUACUGUGUGCUUAUCUGCCACAUGACAUGCAGGCAUCAGAUUCAUUAUAGAGUUAGUGGGUACUACAGGCCUUCUGUUAAAUAUUGAAACCCACACUUUCUCUACUACACUCUUUCUUCAUAGGAAAACUCCAUAACAAUCAAAAUGUCAUGGCCAUCAGGUCAUAGGUAGACAUUUCCUUGUCUUUGCUUAUGUUGAAUUUCUUGCCCAACACAACCUGCCUCCCAACUUAUUAAGGCUUAGCUAUUUUUCAAAGCUCAUGUCGAAUUUAGUCAAUGAAGUCUUUCCUAACAAGUGGAGACCACAAUAAUUUUUAGUUUCAUUGAUCAGUGGUACAGAUAAAUUUUGGUACUAUCGCCACUAGACUUGAGGUCAGAAAACUCAACAUUGAAAUUCAGGUUUGGCACUUAAUAAUUAUAUAAUCGUACUGAAUUGUUUUAACCUCUCUCUUCCUCAGUUUCCUCCCCUGUAAAGCAAGCACAGCAAUAUCUCCAGGAUCAUACUAUUGCUUUAACUGAGAAAUCUUCAAAUACCUGGCUGAGCUGGUGCUCUAUUGCUGUUACCCUUUUAAAAAUCUUAUUUAUUUUCUCAUAUAUCUAGAAGCUCCUUAAGGAAUCUAUUCCUUUGUAGCUUCAGCAUCAUAUAUCAUAAAUACGAAUUACUAUUAAUAAAUGGUGUGAUAAAUAAUUAGAUUUUAAGCAUAGUUUUUGUAAUCUAGAUAGCAAAUGUAACAAAUAGCAUAGUAUAGUGCCUAUAUAGUAGAUAUAUAAUCUAGAUAGACCCUAUAGUAUAAAAUAUAGCAAAGUAAAUAUUCUAUAUGGAUUGCAAUGUGAUAGUAUAGUAAACAGCCCCACCCCUAAAUAAACUGCAAUAUUUUUCAAUAACAUCUAUGUCUAAUUCCAAGUUAAUUCACACAUUCCACCAAACAUUAAAUUACUUAAUGUGAUUUAAAUUCAAAAUGCCAUCACAUUUAAAUUAACAGUCAGAUAAUUUAUUUUUGCAAAAUAGAAAUUGCCCCUAGAUGCUGGAAUAUAUAGCCUUGAGCAGAGAGCCAACUAUUAGAGGUCAACUAUACUACUGAAGGCAUUUGAAAGAGAGACAUUUUUUUUUAACAUGAACUAUCAGAGAGUAACACUUAUUUUCUACAGGUACAUAAAUCUAAUAUCUCUUGUAUGUUUUAGCUCUUUUCCCAAUUUUCUAAACACCAUGCUAUGAAAAUAUCUACAGAUAAAAAUAUACAUUAGAACCAUAAUUUACUAAUAAGGCAAAACCUCUUUAUUUACCCCAGAAUUUCAAAUUUCAACUAAUAUACACUCAGGUUUGUGAAUAAACAAAUACUCAAAUUGUGAUUUUUUUUUCUACACCCAAUGUUAAAAAAAAUGUAGUACAUGUUAUAAGCAGAUUUCAUUUGUUCUAAUGUGCAUUUAUUCAUACCAGAGUUCAAAAUUGGCAAGUUUUCAACAAGCACAUGAUAUAAUUAGCUAUCUUGUUAGAAUUAAGAAGCAACAAGCACUCAAAAUUUGAUUAAACUUACUUGAAUUUUGGCUUAUUUGUAUAAAAUAAAAAUAUUUGGUAUUUGUUUCCUACAUUUUGGACAGAGCAAUGUUAGGCUUGGUUUUAUCACAUUGCUCUCCAAGAAGAAGCCAGAAAUAAAGAACAUCAACAAAUAAAAUUCAUAACUAGAUCCACUUGUGUUAAAUAAAGACUUGGUCUGGGAAAACUGACUACUAUGUAUUUUUUUCCAGAUUAGAGUUUGGUUUAACUACAGCACUAAAACUGUUCUUUCAUUUUUGAAAAUAAAAGGUGCUGUUUAGUGAACAGCCUCUUCCGAGUGUGUUCAAGUGUGUUUGAGAACACAUAAGUUCACUAAAAGAUCCAACAGAAAAGAUGGUUGAGCCUGAGGGUCAUGGUUUUCUACAUUUCUAUGGAAACCUAGUGGAAAUUGUCUUUUUAUGAGUAUUUAUUCACAUUUCAGUUGUUGUCUUUAAAUGAUCACUUUGUUGUCAAUCAAGCAUUAAGACAUGGAAAUAGCAAAAGAGUUGAGUUUGUAAACAAUCUAUUUUGAAAUUAAAUUAAGGGUGUCAAAAUGAUUCAGUCCAACUUUGUAAAAGCAAUCACCUACUUUGAAUGCUUCAAACACAGUGUUCACUCUGCAACUGAAAUUCCAUCCACCUUUGCAUGAUGAGAUUCAUGAAAAACAUGCUCUGAAAUGUAUCAUCUAGAUUUUGUAUGGUAGGUGGGGGAUUGAUUCCUCCUAUUCUCUUGUUUCUUCUGGGUUUGACUUCAGCUGUCUGAGAUUCCUAGACACUACAGUUACCACAGGUAAAACAAUGACACCUUUCCUGCUCAAACCUAAUGUAUAUCAUUUUUAAAACUCCAAUUUUGGGGUCAUCAGCUAUUGUCUUUCCCUGUGUAAAGUUCUGGUUUAGUUUUCAAAUGGUUACUUCCUGCAGAAUUCCAAGAGAGAAAGGAAGAAAGGGGGAUUGAUUGGAGAGCACUCACCCCAAAGAGGGAAACAUGACUUUCCCUUUAACUGAGAUCUUAAAUAUAUAUAUAUCCUUUCAUUCUUUCAAUGUCCUCACUUCCAACACUGCCUAAAUUCAUUGGGUUUGGAAUUAAAGUAAAAUAAUAGACAUAAAAACAAUGGAAAAGUUAUAUUUUAAUACAAUUAAGAUGAGUUUAAAGUCUUAUUUAAAAGUAUGUGCUCAGUUCCCAUUGUGGCUCAGUGGUUAACAAGUCCAACUAGGAACUAAGAGGUUGUAGGUUUGAUCCCUGGCCUCACUCAGUGAGUUAAGGAUCCGGCGUUGCCGUGAGUUGUAGUGUAGUUCACAGAAGUGGCUUGGAUCCCGCGUUGCUGUGGCUGUGGCAUAGGCCGGUGGCUACAGCUCUGAUUAGACCCUUAGCCUGGGAACCUCCAUAUGCCGUGGGAGCAGCCCUAGUAUAGGCAAAAAGACAAAAAAAAAAAAAAUAAAUAAGAAUAAUCAGGAAGUCUCAGGAUGGGGAAAACAAGUUUGUGGAAUAUUUAAAGAAUAAGCCAAUAGUAAUAAUUUCCAUAUUAGAUUAGAAAUGAAAAUAUUAUUCAAUCCUUUAUAAAUCUUCAUUAUGGAUCCAUAUCGUAUCAGAAAUACUAUAUGCUCCUAGUGAUAAAAAUGUGAUCACAGCAUAAUUUAUGCUUUCAAAAUCUUGUAAUCCAGAGUCAGAUACCAGGAUGUAAACAAAUCAGGCCAUCGACUUUAAUAGGUACCAGAGGAGAGGAAGAAAGAGAACUACGGAUGAAACACAAAAGAGAAACAAACAAACUCUACCUUGGGAGGUAAAGCUGGGGGAAACAAGAAUCAAUUCAAUUUGAAUCUAUGGUUACCAAUGACAGGGUUAUCACCUAUUUUUAUUUUUUUCUGACAGAUUUUUAUAAAUGGUAUUGUUGGAACUCUCAACAUAUUUAAUCUUUGUUAUGACCCUCUGAGUUGGUAGUAGUAAUAUACCCACUUUAUAAAGGAGGAAAACUGACCCAGAAAAGUUAAGUAACUUGCCCAAGGCAGAGCAGCUAGUCAGUAGUAGAACUAGGACUCAGGCUUAGGCCAGUUAGGCUUCAGAUCCCUGUUGUUUACCACAGUGUGAUGCUGCUUAGUUCAAAAAGUUAUCAAAUGCUGAUGCUCAACUCUUUAUAUAAGCUUUUUAACCAUCUGAAAUAAUCUUACAGGUGUUCAGAUUACAUUUUGAAAGUAUAAAGUUUAGGCUUUUAUAUUGUGCAUGGGUAAUAGCCUCUAUUUUUCAAGAAGAAAAUAAGUGAGCAUAUCAGUACUGAAAUUCUUUUAGUACAUCAAGAAUGCCUGAAUUUCUGCCCAUGUGCUAGUGUAUGAUACAUGUUCUUACAUGUAGAAUAAAUCUCAUUCUACCAAAUACAGGGAAGAUGGAUCAAAUUUUAAAAAAAUUGCUUCAGCUUUGUUCACACAUGGAAGUUCUCUUUCAGAAAAACCUAUCAAAUAUUCUAAGUACCAUCACUGAGGAGAGAAUUCAAACUCCAGAAAAGCAAUAGGCAUUUAGUGGUGCGAAUCAGUUAUUGCAAACCGUGGAGGGCUAAGUCCAUCCUAAAACGACAAGGAUCAGCCCCCAGCUGGGACUCCUUGCAGGGAAGGCCAGGCUUGGCCACUGUCAAGUAGGGUCCCAGGUGGUCCUGAAAGAUCAGCCCUAUCUGAGUGGGCCAGAGCAGGGGCAGGAGUCAAAUGAACCUGAGUGUAAGUCCUGUGACACAGGACAAUUUAAAUAACUUCUCUCUCAACUUCCUUUUGUUAAAUGGAAUGUCAAAUCACAAAAAUAUGGAAAAUGUAAGUAAUCAAAAUCUCAUGGUUUGUCAUACAGUUUGCUAUAUACACUUGUACAAACAUUCAAUAUACACAUAUAUCCAUAUAUCGUACAUAUACGAGAGGAAAUGCACAUGUGUGCAUGUGUAUACACACACAUGUACAGAUGUCUUGCGCUAUCCUUAGUUGGCAACUGUACACAGUAUGAAGAGUGUUUUAACAAACAGCACUAAAUUGCUGUACAUAGAUAAGAAUCUAGGGAUUACCAUCAGGAUUGUGGGGGUGAUGAAGGGAUAGCAAAUGAUGCAGAGAUGAGACUAAGGAUGGAUAGAUUCAAAACAGAGGUUCAUAAACCCUAAGUUUACAGCAUGACAGUAAACGUAGAUUUAAAGAAAAAGAUGUCCUGCAAGAAAUUUCUGAGGCCACAAAUGGCCAAAGGGUUUAUGUGUCUAAAAAAAUAAAUCAAGCAGAAUCUUCUCUCUUAGCCUCACUACUUCCAACUCUAUGACAGUUGUGGCACUGGGCCUGUUGAUUUUUCUGACUCUUUGUCACACCUUGCUUUCCUAAUCUUUCCCCAGAUUAUAUUCCAAAGAGUUCCUCUUCUCAGUUAUUAGUCCUUUAAGGUAAAGUCUCUGCAAGGCAAUUAUUAGUCAGAAAUCACAAAGAAGUAUGUUCUUUUACAGGAUGCAGUACAUUAUACUGUAUUUAAUGAAGAUCGCAUAAUGCCUCUGAAAAGUCUCUUAGAGUUUAACCUGUAAGUAUUUGUAAAAAGAUAAUAUUUAAAUAUGCAUUUUAUGCUUGAUAGAAUAUAAUUUCUCUCUUGAGGAAUUCAGAUGCAGACAUGGUAUAUAUUUAGUUCAUUUUAAACUGUAAGUUAAUUUCCUGAUAGACCUAGGAACUUGAAUAAUCUAUCCCAUAAAUAUAUGCAGUAUGAAAAGAUGUUUUAAAACAGGUAUCAUU
ensembl:lncRNA